rnacentral:rRNA from 1 species
UACGUAGGUGGCAAGCGUUGUCCGGAUUUAUUGGGCUUAAAGGGUGCGUAGGCGGUUCUGUAAGUCAGGGGUGAAAUACUCUAGCUUAACUAGAGGGGUGCCAAUGAUACUGCAGAACUUGAGUACAGAUGAGGUAGGCGGAAUUGACGGUGUAGCGGUGAAAUGCAUAGAUAUCGUCAAGAACACCGAUAGCGAAGGCAGCUUACUGGGCUGUAACUGACGCUGAGGCACGAAAGUGUGGGGAGCAAACAGG